GGGGCAGUACGCAUAGUUGGUGAUUGCAGCGGACUGUAAAUCCGUGACAUUUGAAACAUCGUUGGUUCGAGUCCAACCUGCCCCACCA
rnacentral:tRNA from 1 species